rnacentral:sRNA from 1 species
AGAUCUUGAAGAGAAACCACGAUGAUG